AGUGGCGGACGGGUGAGUAACGCGUGAGAAUCUGCCUUGUGGUCGGGGACAACCACUGGAAACGGUGGCUAAUACCGGAUAAGCCGAUUGGUGAAAGAUUUAUUGCCCGAAGAGGAGCUCGCGUCUGAUUAGCUAGUUGGUGAGGUAAGAGCUCACCAAGGCAGCGAUCAGUAGCUGGUCUGAGAGGACGAUCAGCCACACUGGGACUGAGACACGGCCCAGACUCCUACGGGAGGCAGCAGUGGGGAAUUUUCCGCAAUGGGCGAAAGCCUGACGGAGCAAGACCGCGUGAGGGAGGAAGGCUCUUGGGUUGUAAACCUCUUUUCUCAGGGAAGAAGCUCUGACGGUACCUGAGGAAUCAGCCUCGGCUAACUCCGUGCCAGCAGCCGCGGUAAUACGGAGGAGGCAAGCGUUAUCCGGAAUUAUUGGGCGUAAAGCGUCCGCAGGUGGCGAUUCAAGUCUGCUGUCAAAGCACGGGGCUUAACUCCGUAAAGGCAGUGGAAACUGAAUAGCUAGAGUGCCGUAGGGGUAGAGGGAAUUCCCGGUUUAGCGGUGAAAUGCGUAGAGAUCGGGAAGAACAUCGGUGGCGAAAGCGCUCUACUGGACGGCAACUGACACUCAGGGACGAAAGCUAGGGGAGCGAAUGGGAUUAGAUACCCC
rnacentral:rRNA from 1 species